CAUUUUCAUUACCACUACAAACAGUUCUUUUUCUCUCCUGCUGAUAACAACUCACCUUAACUGAUCAUUCUCCUUAUAGUAUGUAUGGUAACACCUAUUGUUUCAUGGUGUGUGUGUGUGUGUAGCUCUAUAGAUAUGUUCUU